rnacentral:lncRNA from 1 species
GUUUAGGGUUUGGUUAGGGUUUGGCUAGGGUUCGGUUUAGGGUUUGGAUUAGGAUUUGGAUUAGGGUUUAGGAUUUGGUUAGGGUUUGAUUUAGGAUUUGGAUUAGGGUUUGGAUUAGGAUUUGGUUAGGGUUUGGAUUAGGGUUUGGUUAGGAUUUGAUUUAAGGUUUGGUUUAGGGUUUAGGAUUUGGAUUAGAGUUUAGAGUUGGAUUAGGAUUUGGAUUAGGAUUUGGAUUAAGGUUUAGGAUUUGGUUAGGAUUUGAUUUAGGGUUUGGAUUAGGGUUUGGUUAGAAUUUGAUUUAAGAUUUGGUUUAGGGUUUAGGGUUUAGGGUUUGGAAUAGGGUUUAAUUUAAUAUUUGUUUAGGAUUUGACUUAAGAUUUAGGAAUUAUU